rnacentral:tRNA from 1 species
ACACCUAAAAGAUUUCAGCUAACCCUGACCAUUUUGAGCCAAUUUAAGCCCGCUUAACUAUUAAAUCAA